rnacentral:rRNA from 1 species
UACGUAGGGUGCAAGCGUUAAUCGGAAUUACUGGGCGUAAAGCGUGCGCAGGCGGUUAUGUAAGACAGUUGUGAAAUCCCGGGCUCAACCUGGGAACUGCAUCUGUGACUGCAUAGCUAGAGUACGGUAGAGGGGGAUGGAAUUCCGCGUGUAGCAGUGAAAUGCGUAGAUAUGCGGAGGAACACCGAUGGCGAAGGCAAUCCCCUGGACCUGGUACUGACGCUCAUGCACGAAAGCGUGGGGAGCAAACAGG